rnacentral:rRNA from 1 species
ACGCUCGACACCUACGGGAGGCAGCAGUGGGGAAUAUUGCACAAUGGGGGAAACCCUGAUGCAGCGACGCCGCGUGGAGGAAGAAGGUCUUCGGAUUGUAAACUCCUGUUGUUGGGGAAAAAGAGGAUGGUACCCAACAAGGAAGUGACGGCUAACUACGUGUCAGCAGCCGCGGUAAUCUGAGCGGGCUGGCAAGGC